ACGUGAUCUGAGUUCAGACCGGAGUAAUCCAGGUCAGUUUCUAUCUAUAAAGGGCUUUUUCUAGUACGAAAGGACCGAAAAAGCACGGCCCAUAUUUUAUACAAGCCGUAUAAAUUAGUUUAUGAUUUUAAUCUUAAUAAAUAAGCAACCUAUCAACUCUCUCAAGAACAGAGC
rnacentral:rRNA from 1 species